rnacentral:misc_RNA from 1 species
UGAGACAUCCCCACAACCGCG